AAAAUAAAUAAACUACAUAACAUAUAUUACCAUACAAGUGAAUAUUUGCUGAUAUAAAGGUUGUGCUGGAUUCGAAGAUUCUGUAUCUGUGCACAAUAAAUAUAACUGGACACAGUAGCUAAAAUGACUUAAUCUCCCUGUAUAGAUGUUGUUAUGGUAUUUUAUGGAUUCCAGUAUAAUGUACAUGCAAUAUUAAAAUAUACUAUAUAUUAUAGCAGUAUGUUUAUGGACGUAUUAACUGUUGGAUAUAUCACAGACCAUUGUCAGUGUCCAUUUCUUAUAAAACACUGAGUUUCUGAGUUUUGAUGAUAUUAUUGUAUUG